UUUAACUUUCGCCCAACCUUCAAAGGCACACGGAUUCCAAAUUUCAAAAAUAUCCAGCGAAACAUAGCAGGGAACAAAGAUUCCAAUUUCACCUUUAAUUAUUAGAAAUGUUUUGAAAUGAAAUUCGAUUCAACGACUACGUCAUCACCAAUAAUUAAGGUUAUAGGUGACCAAAGAUCCAAGAGAAUUGGUGACGGGCCAUUGGAUCAAUAUCACAAUUUACAGGUCAUAUGUCACAAAUUCAAGAGAACUGGUCACAUGCCAUUGAUUUCUCGAUCGUUGCCUUCAAAAAUUCUGAUACACAGUGCCAACAACUUCUAAUUUGUGAACCCAAAUGUCCGACGAAUUUCAAUUAACCAGAUUUUGACGUAGUCUGAUAAUUUUCGAACAAUCAGAUUUCGGCGGUGGUAAAUUACUGUGGAAAGGUCUCUCUUGCUUGGUCUUCCAAAUUUUUUAUGAUUUGUUGUUUUGUAGAGUAUGGUAAUUGAAAGCAUUAUUUUAG